UACGGAGGGUGCAAGCGUUAUCCGGAUUCACUGGGUUUAAAGGGUGCGUAGGCGGGUGUGUAAGUCCGUGGUGAAAUCUCUGAGCUUAACUCGGAAACUGCCAUGGGUACUGCAUAUCUUGAAUGUCGUUGAGGUAAGCGGAAUGUUGCAUGUAGCGGUGAAAUGCUUAGAUAUGUUACAGAACACCAAUUGUGAAGACAGCUUACUAAACGAUGAUUGACGCUGAGGCACGAAAGCGUGGGGAGCAAACAGG
rnacentral:rRNA from 1 species